rnacentral:rRNA from 1 species
AUUGAACGCUGGCGGCAGGCCUAACACAUGCAAGUCGAGCGGAUGAAGGGAGCUUGCUCCUGGAUUCAGCGGCGGACGGGUGAGUAAUGCCUAGGAAUCUGCCUGGUCGUGGGGGAUAACGUCCGGAAACGGGCGCUAAUACCGCAUACGUCCUGAGGGAGAAAGUGGGGGAUCUUCGGACCUCACGCUAUCAGAUGAGCCUAGGUCGGAUUAGCUAGUUGGUGGGGUAAAGGCCUACCAAGGCGACGAUCCGUAACUGGUCUGAGAGGAUGAUCAGUCACACUGGAACUGAGACACGGUCCAGACUCCUACGGGAGGCAGCAGUGGGGAAUAUUGGACAAUGGGCGAAAGCCUGAUCCAGCCAUGCCGCGUGUGUGAAGAAGGUCUUCGGAUUGUAAAGCACUUUUAGUUGGGAGGAAGGGCAGUAAGUUAAUACCUUGCUGUUUUGACGGUACCAACAGAAUAAGCACCGGCUAACUUCGUG